GACGUAGGGGGCCAGCGUUGUUCGGAAUUACUGGGUGUAAAGGGUUCGUAGGCGGUGCGGCAAGUUGGGAGUGAAAUCUCUGGGCUCAACCCAGAGGCUGCUUCCAAAACUGCCGUGCUUGAGUGUGGGAGAGGCGCGUGGAAUUGCAGGUGUAGCGGUGAAAUGCGUAGAUAUCUGCAGGAACACCCGUGGCGAAAGCGGCGCGCUGGACCACUACUGACGCUGAGGAACGAAAGCUAGGGGAGCAAACAGG
rnacentral:rRNA from 1 species